rnacentral:rRNA from 1 species
AUGUGGACCUGUCUUCGUGAGCGCUAUCAGCCCUCUGGUGAUGCCUUAUACCUCUCUGUGAUCCGUCAGGAGCAUGCUCUUCAGCAGGGUGACUCUACUGUUGAUGACUUCUAUGCAUAGAGUUCUGCUAUCUGGCGCCAGCUUGAUUCUCUCCGUAGUGCUGGGUGUCGUACCUGCCCCUGUUGCCAGGCUGUCCAGGCCAAUUUGGAGUUUCAUCGCGUCUAUGAGUUCCUGUCUCGGCUCCGUAAGGAGUUUGAGCCCCGGCGUGCUCAGUUGUUUGCUCGUGGCCGUAUUUCUCUCAUGGAGGCGCUUUUUGAGAUUCGUGCUGAGGAGACUCGCUUACGUGGUGCUGGUUUGCUGGAGGUUCCCUCUGUGCUUGCUACUCGUGCUUCUACGCCACCUGCUCCAUCGACUACUUCUCGCUCGAGUGCUCCGCCGCUCUUGCCCACUCCUUUUGGAGGCUCAGGUCGCCCCCGUCCACAUUGCGCCUAUUGCAACAAUGAUGGUCAUCUUGAGUCUCAGUGCUACACGAAGAAGAAACACCUGCGCAAGGCUCGAUCAUCAUCUUCAGGGACUUCGUCA